GCCCCUACGGGGCGCAGCAGUGGGGAAUAUUGCACAAUGGGGGAAACCCUGAUGCAGCGACGCCGCGUGAGUGAAGAAGUAAUUCGUUAUGUAAAGCUCUAUCAGCAGGGAAGAAAAUGACGGUACCUGAGUAAGAAGCCCCGGCUAACUACGUGCCAGCAGCCGCGGUAAUACGUAGGGGGCGAGCGUUAUCCGGAUUUACUGGGUGUAAAGGGAGCGUAGACGGUUCUGCAAGUCUGAAGUGAAAGCCCGUGGCUUAACCGCGGAACGGCUUUGGAAACUGUGGAACUGGAGUGCUGGAGAGG
rnacentral:rRNA from 1 species